AGAACUACUCUCAACUAACACCUUGUGUGUGAGUUGGAUAUGGGGGUCUGCCGUUGACUUGUUCACGGCUCCUCCUAAAUAUGUUAGCUGUUAGUGACACACUACUGUUGGCUUGAUAUCAUGUCUAUGCUGCAGUCGUAUGUUUCUUGGCUUACAAUCGUCUUCGGACAACUUAUUCUGAG
rnacentral:misc_RNA from 1 species